rnacentral:rRNA from 1 species
AGCGAACGCUGGUGGCAGGCUUAACACAUGCAAGUCGAGCGGGCGUAGCAAUACGUCAGCGGCAGACGGGUGAGUAACGCGUGGGAACGUACCUUUGGUUCGGAACAACACAGGGAAACUUGUGCUAAUACCGGAUAAGCCCUUACGGGGAAAGAUUUAUCGCCGAAAGAUCGGCCCGCGUCUGAUUAGCUAGUUGGUAGGGUAAUGGCCUACCAAGGCGACGAUCAGUAGCUGGUCUGAGAGGAUGAUCAGCCACAUUGGGACUGAGACACGGCCCAAACUCCUACGGGAGGCAGCAGUGGGGAAUAUUGGACAAUGGGGGCAACCCUGAUCCAGCCAUGCCGCGUGAGUGAUGAAGGCCCUAGGGUUGUAAAGCUCUUUUGUGCGGGAAGAUAAAUGACGGUACCGCAAGAAUAAGCCCCGGCUAACUUCGUGCCAGCAGCCGCGGUAAU